rnacentral:rRNA from 1 species
UACGUAGGGGGCGAGCGUUGUCCGGAUUUAUUGGGCGUAAAGAGCUCGUAGGCGGCUUGGCAAGUCGGGUGUGAAACCUCCAGGCUUAACCUGGAGACGCCACUCGAUACUGCCAUGGCUAGAGUCCGGUAGGGGACCACGGAAUUCCUGGUGUAGCGGUGAAAUGCGCAGAUAUCAGGAGGAACACCGAUGGCGAAGGCAGGUCUCUGGGCCGAUACUGACGCUGAGGAGCGAAAGCGUGGGGAGCGAACAGG